CAUAAGGGUCAUAUGAUCCUCACAGGUUUCCUGAUAAAGUGAUGCAGCAUCUGUGACGCUGAGGAAAACCGUUUAGUGGAUUAACUCCACGCAGCUUUAUUUGUUUUCUGAUACAGUUGCUUCUCCUCUUUCAGUUCACAGAUGUGGAAAAUUCCCUGUAGUUGAAAAUAGUGUUGCUGAGCCGCAGGGUAAUUGGUCUUUGAAGUACAAAUGUGCAAAACUUUAUGAACUACAGGGUCCAGAGACUGUGGUGUGUCACAGCAACGGAAAGUGGUCCGACUUACCCACCUGCAGAGAAAACUUCUGCUCUGUGGACACUAACGUGGAACCUGACUUAAAAAAUACUGGAGUUUCUUUCUUAGCAAACGGAGAGACAAUGUGGCUUGCUUGUGAAGAUAAGUGGAUAUUUCCAAGCUUUGCUGUAUUCCAGUGCAAAGAUCUACAACCCAUUUUAUCCAGAUGUUGUAACCGUUUCCAAAUAAAUAUAGGUAUCUGCUGAGACCAGAUCAUGAAGAUGCUGCUUUCAGAUUUGCUGAUGAAAUAUCAUCACAGAAGACUUGAGACGAUCGGUUAUGAUCACGCCCUACGUAGCUU